UGUAAUUUAAAUAAAGGAGAUUUUUGUGAAAUGUGUUAUGAGGAUUAUGCAAUUUUAAAUGAAAAAUUUACAGUGUUACAUCGUUGAUAAUCUAUUACAAUUUAUCGACGCUUUAUCAACGGAAAUCAAAUAAUUUUUCAUUCCGUCGGAAUUCUAUUGGUAAAUUUUGGUUUUCUUUUUUUAAUUUUUUAAUAACAUCGGCAAUUUGGUUAAAAAAAAAAAAAAAAAAAAAAAAAAAAAAAAAACGCAUCUACUGAUUUUUCCCUAUGCUUUCCCUCUUCUCUUUAUACUACACAUGCUCCCUCUUGCUCCUCCCACAUCUUCAAUCUGCAACCAAUCGGCCACUGCCAUCUGCCAACAACGUCACCUUCGCCAUCCCCGCCGGCAGCAAAGCCCUUCAGCUCUUCCAAAGUUGUCGACGUAGGAUACCUUCUUCCUCCCACCACUGGUCCGACCUGCAACCCACCUCCCCUUAACCAAGUAAAAUUGCUCCCCUUUCUUUCUUUCUCUCUCUCUCUCUCUCUCUCUCUCUCUCUCUCUCUCUCUAUAUAUAUAUAUAUAUAUAUAUAUAUAUAUAUAUAUAUAUAUAUAUAUAUAUAUGACGUCCAACAUUGCCUCGCUCUCUUGCUGCUGCCGCCGCCGCCACCGGUGAAGUCCCUGUUUACAGCUGGUGGACCAGACCAUUUGAUCCGAUUUCAGCUUCUUUCUCCAAGUUUUGAUUUGGCAGAAAAAGACCCAGAUCUUAUGGUGAUAGGAGGAAGGAAGAGUGACAUCGUUGCUUGGUUGUAGUAGUAGUAGGUAACAAUGAUAAUGGUCGUGGCAGAUUUGAUGCUGGUAGGAUGCAAUAAUAACAGUGGUAAUGGUGGUCCAUGUGGUUAGUGGUGGCGGCGAGUGAUGGCGAUGGUGGUGGUGAUGGUGGUAGAAAUUGAGUGUUAUUUCUGUUAACUUAUAAAUUGGUGUAUAACAUGUUUAUUAAGUUGUGAAUGGUUGAAUUAAUAUGUUUGUUAAAUUGUGAAUAUGUUAUUUGAAUUAUGAAUUUUCUUA